rnacentral:rRNA from 1 species
UAAUACAUGCAAGUCGAGCGCGCCCUUCGGGGUGAGCGGCGGACGGGUGAGUAACGCGUGGGAAUAUGCCCUUCUCUAAGGAAUAGCCUCUGGAAACGGAGAGUAAUACCUUAUACGCUCUUUGGGGGAAAGAUUUAUCGGAGAAGGAUUAGCCCGCGUUAGAUUAGGUAGUUGGUGGGGUAAUGGCCUACCAAGCCUACGAUCUAUAGCUGGUUUGAGAGGAUGAUCAGCCACACUGGGACUGAGACACGGCCCAGACUCCUACGGGAGGCAGCAGUAGGGAAUCUUAGACAAUGGGGGCAACCCUGAUCUAGCCAUGCCGCGUGUGUGAUGAAGGCCCUAGGGUCGUAAAGCACUUUCGCCAGAGAUGAUAAUGACAGUAUCUGGUAAAGAAACCCCGGCUAACUCCGUGCCAGCAGCCGCGGUAAUACGGAGGGGGUUAGCGUUGUUCGGAAUUACUGGGCGUAAAGCGCACGUAGGCGGAUUAGUAAGUUAGAGGUGAAAUCCCAGGGCUCAACCCUGGAACUGCCUUUAAUACUGCUAGUCUUGA